rnacentral:misc_RNA from 1 species
AAGAAAAAAAAAAAAAAAAAACACAAAGAAAAGAUCAAAAUUAUUAUAUGUGUGUUUGCAAUUCGCAAGUAUUGUUCUUGCUUUUGAGGCUAAAAGUUAAAGCAAGCUUUUGUUUCCGAAAACAAGAAAAGAAUCUCUGAAAUUCUGAGUGGCUGACCCAACUAUUGGAGAAUCCGCCAAAUUUCUAUGGUGGGAUGGCUUUGGCAUGCAUGCAGGCUCUUUCAGCUGCUAUACGCCAUUCAAUAUAGUCCAUUUCCUGUUUCCUUUACCCCUCAUUUUUCGUACAUACACAUAACCUCAUUUUUCUUCAUUUAAUCCAAAUCAAAUUACCUUAGCCUAUUUUAGUCCAGUGAUUAAAGUCAUAACACUCGACCUAACAAAGGUUUCAUUUCCUGAUCUCCCAAUCUCCCUGCCUAGUGAAAACAAAACGAGAAAAAGAAAAAAAAAAAACCCAAAUCAGAUUGAUGAAUGAUGAGAACUUCUGAUAUUUAUGUACGUACGAAAACCACAGGCAAACUCUAGUAAUUAACUUGUAGUAAAACCAUGCAGUGGAAUUUUAUGACAUAUUCUUAACUAUUAUUCAACAAGGCUUUAAUUGGGUGGGAAUUAUUAUUGAUGAAUAUUUAUAACGAAUUUGAUAUAUAUAUAUAUAUAGACAAAGGAUUUGAGCUAAUAUAUGUAAAUAUGCUACUGCUGUGGCGGAUCUAAUGUAUGAAAAGAGGGGUCAAUUGACCCUUUUUUUCUUUGUUAAAUGCUUUUUAUAUUUAUAUAUAUUUGUAUAUUUUGACUUCUCAUAAAUUUAAUUAUUUAAUUUUUAUUUAAAUAAAAUUUAAAAUUAUUUGAGACAAAUAAA